rnacentral:rRNA from 1 species
GCAGUAGCCGCGGUAAAACGGAGGGGGCUAGCGUUGUUCGGAAUUACUGGGCGUAAAGCGCACGUAGGCGGCUUGGUAAGUUAGAGGUGAAAGCCCGGAGCUCAACUCCGGAAUUGCCUUUAAGACUGCCGAGCUAGUAGGUGAGAGAGGUAAGUGGAAUUCCGAGUGUAGAGGUGAAAUUCGUAGAUAUUCGGAAGAACACCAGUGGCGAAGGCGGCUUACUGGCUCAUUCUAGACGCUGAGGUGCGAAAGCGUGGGGAGCAAACAGGAUUAGAGACCCCCGUAGUCCCUGUCUCUUAUAC